UACUGUCAUAUACAGUUUCAUGUAUCAUGCAUGGUGAAAAAGGAAUAAGGAUGUAUGUUUGGAUUUAGGGGAGAAUUGGGAGUAGGAGCAAGAAUGGAAGAAGAGGAAGAAUGCGGGAAUGGAACCCGCAUAGAUACGUCACUGACUGUAAGAAAUGCAGUAUCUUUCUUACUUUGGUUUUCUUAUUCAGGAGAGGCAUAGGGAGUGAUAGCAGUACUUGCAAAAUAUGUCAGACCCUCUGUCGGCCAACUUCUGGAGCCACCACUGCGACAGCAGUAUUUGCAAGACCGGGAGAGGGAUACCAGUCCUUGUCACUGGGAGAGUAGUCUUUUCAACCAAUGGA